GUGCUCACUUUGGCAGCACAUGUACUAAAAUUGAAACGGUACAGAGGAGAUUAACAUGGUCCCUGUACAAGGAUGACAUGCAAAUUCCUGAAAUAUUUCAUAUUUUC
ensembl:snRNA U6 U6 spliceosomal RNA